UACGGAGGGUGCAAGCGUUGUUCGGAAUUACUGGGCGUAAAGCGCGUGUAGGCGGUCACUUAAGUCUGAUGUGAAAUCCCGGGGCUUACCUCCGGAAGUGCAUUGGAAACUGAGCGACUCGAGUGCCGGAGAGGAGGGUGGAAUUCCUGGUGUAGCGGUGAAAUGCGUAGAUAUCAGGAGGAACACCAGUGGCGAAGGCGGCCCUCUGGACGGAUACUGACGCUGAGACGCGAAAGCGUGGGGAGCAAACAGG
rnacentral:rRNA from 1 species